UAAGCGGAGGAAAAGAAACUAACAAGGAUUCCCUUAGUAGCGGCGAGCGAAGCGGGAUGAGCUCAAAUUUGAAAUCUGGCGUCUUUCAGGCGUCCGAGUUGUAAUCUAUAGAAGCGUUUUCUGUGCUGGACCAUGUCCAAGUCCCUUGGAACAGGGUAUCAAAGAGGGUGACAAUCCCGUACUUGACAUGACCACCAGUGCUCUGUGAUACGUUUUCAACGAGUCGAGUUGUUUGGGAAUGCAGCUCAAAAUGGGUGGUAAAUUCCAUCUAAAGCUAAAUAUUGGCGAGAGACCGAUAGCGAACAAGUACCGUGAGGGAAAGAUGAAAAGCACUUUGGAAAGAGAGUUAAACAGUACGUGAAAUUGUUGAAAGGGAAACGAUUGAAGUCAGUCGUGUCUAUUGGUUUCAGCCGGUUCUGCCGGUGUAUUACCUUUAGACGGGUCAACAUCAGUUUUGGACGGCACAUAAGAGCGGUUUGAAUGUAUCACCUCCGGGUGUGUUAUAGCUUACUGUUGCAUAUGCUGUCCGAGACUGAGGACUGCAGCUCGCCUUUUAGGCCGGGGUUCGCCCACGUUCGAGCUUAGGAUGUUGACAUAAUGGCUUUAAACGACCCGUCUUGAAACACG
rnacentral:rRNA from 1 species